AAGUUGUGUUGGAGUGUGGGUUGUCGAUAUUUCGUGUCUUGAACCAUACACAAUGGAUAGUUCUACACCAUCCAAUGGUCACUCAGCAGCAAAAUCCAAUUUAAGAGUGAAUCUAUCCACUUCAGCUGAGGAUAAUACAGAUGCAAGUUGUCGGGGACAAUUAAUUUCACAAAACUCUGAUCUUGUGAAAGAAUCUAAGUCAUUCAGAAGACUUUCUUUGUCACAG
rnacentral:misc_RNA from 1 species